AGAAAAGUAAGCUAACAAAGCUAAUGGGCUCAUACCCCAGAAAUGGAGUAACACUCCCUUUUCUA
rnacentral:tRNA from 1 species